CGUGACAACGACAAGGUCCAUGCCAGCCUGGGAAGCUUAGGCCACUUCAAAGUAAAGAAAUAAAAAGGGCUGGGGAAGUAGCCCAGUGGAGGCCCCUGGGCUCAAUCCCCGGCACCCAGGAAAAGCCGCACUCACGCUCCAGGCAUUCCGCCAUCAACUCUGAAAAAACGGCAGUUUCGCAAUCAAUACAGCUUCCCUCUACCCGUUUUUAACUUCCUCUACAACUCAGUUUUCAACACUUCCAAAGUAUAAAGUGUCCAGGAAGUAACAACUAUGAACUUUAAGCAAAGGAGGAGAAAGAACACCUCGGGAGAAGGACGGCCGAAGCACGGAAAACUCAAGAUUCAGAAAGGUGGGGAACCGCGUGGCCGCGUGGGGGGGAGGGGCCUGAAGCCCCGCCCAGGCCCUGCGUGUAUUUGGCGCCAAACUCCGAGAGCUCUUACACCGCGGGUGUGUCGGCAUCUCGCGAGAAGUUCGGUUCACCCGCUGCGUCCAGCGGGGCGCCCACCGCGCAGAGGCUGCAGGCGGCGUGAGCUGAAAGCGGGUGCCGCGAAAGUGAAGUUCUUGAGCUCCCUGUCAACCUCRAAUUUCUGAACCCCACUUCUUUCCAAAGGACUUAAUUGAAAUAGAGAGAAAAAAAUGUUAGAACCGCAAGAGAAUGGCUUAGUUGACCUGCCAGAUUAUGAACAUGUAGAAGAUGAAACUUUUCCUCCUUUCCCACCUCCAGCAUCUCCGCAGAGAGAUGGUGAAGGAGCUGAACCUGAUGAAGGUCUGUAUAGAGUUUCACAAAAGUGUCCAUGUUCACUUAUCCAUCCAU
rnacentral:lncRNA from 1 species